rnacentral:rRNA from 1 species
UACGUAGGGUGCAAGCGUUGUCCGGAAUUAUUGGGCGUAAAGAGCUCGUAGGCGGCUCGUUGCGUCGGCUGUGAAAACCCGCAGCUCAACUGUGGGCCUGCAGCUGAUACGGGCGGGCUGGAGUUCGGUAGGGGAGACUGGAAUUCCUGGUGUAGCGGUGAAAUGCGCAGAUAUCAGGAGGAACACCGGUGGCGAAGGCGGGUCUCUGGGCCGAUACUGACGCUGAGGAGCGAAAGCGUGGGGAGCGAACAGG